CCUCAAACAAGUCUAACUCAUCUCAGAACGGUAAUAGGCAUUGAUGGAUGAUCGUGAAUAUUCGAGAUGCCUCUUGGAAAGCCCCUGGCAGAAAACGGGGAGACAUCAGAAGAGAAAAUACCUCAGUUCUCUGUUCUGAGCGCAGCUUGAUCCUCUCACAUUGUGCAUUUUCUUGCAAGGGGAUAAGUUCUGCCAGGAUUGCCAGCUCUCUUAACGGGCAUUCCCACUGGUUCUCCACCUGACAUACCUGCUGUUGAUCAAGAUGCUCAAGAUGUUGAUAAUCUCCACUUACCUGAAAUUUUUAAGGUCUGGUUUAUUCACCCUCUGUUCACCAGAUUGCUGCAGCAGUACAUGCAGCAUCACAUUCAGGCACACACCUGUUUCUAGCUCUGUGUUUAUCUGGGUAUUUACCUUGGUUUUUCCUGUUCCCUAGGGCCCCCUGCUGUAUCAGUAAAGUUUG